GGGUACAUUUUGCUUUACGUUGGACAAAGCUACAGUUCAGUCGGACACCAAUACACUCGGGUCGGACAAACAAUAAACCUCAGUUCAGGUCGGACAGAAUUAUGUCCGGUGGUUUCCUCUUUACGUCGGACAAUUUCACGAAUGUGUCGGACAAUGUCCGUGACCGCCCAAUAUUUUAGGCCCGAGCUCACUGGUCCCAAUACAGUUGGGCCUCACUACCACAUAUAUUUUAUACCACGCACUGCUCUUGCAACCGACAGUUUAAAGAUUCUACGUACUGGUCGUACUCUCGCCGGCUCUACCGGCCAAAAUUCGGGGAUUAGAUCACCGCUACAUUCCUUUUGACCACAAGAUUCUUCAACCCAUUUCGGAACUGUCGGUUCUGAACCAUAAAUAUAACGGGAUUGACACUCGAGCUGAACAUUGCCAACAAUAUUGUGGAAAAAAACAGCGCAUUCGGGACAGUCGUGUAUCGCCUAGCAACAAGCACGACAGCAACCGGCACGGAGCAUACAAGAAACGAAGCGAUCACUAUACCCAGAAACUUUG
rnacentral:lncRNA from 1 species